GACGAACGCUGGCGGCGUGCUUAAUACAUGCAAGUGGAGCGACGAACCAGGCUUCGGCCUGGGGCAGAGCCGCGAACGGGUGAGUAACACGUGGGUAACCUGCCUCGAUGACCGGGGACAACCCGGGGAAACCCGGGCUAAUACCGGAUGUGCUGUCCCCACAUCAGUGGAGACAGGAAAGGAAGCUUCGGCCUCCGCAUCGAGAUGGGCCCGCGGCCCAUUAGCUUGUUGGUGUGGUAACGGCUCACCAAGGCUGCGAUGGGUAGCUGGUCUGAGAGGACGAUCAGCCACAC
rnacentral:rRNA from 1 species